AAGAGUGUAAUUUAAAGGUAAAAUGAAAAGCUCCAAACUUUUCUUUCUCAGUUCAAAUCUGAGUGCUCUUG